UUUAUAAAUCCCAAAAUCCAAAAAAAUAAGGAAAAAAUGAAAAGAAAAUGGAUCCAAAUUUGUACAAUCCAAAUUUUGACAUGAAAGCGAAAUAUGAAAACAUCAAAAUCCCUUUCUUGUGAUCAAGGCAAGCACUAGAUCCCUUUAUUCUUUGAAAUUCAUUAAGAUUCUAAUUAAUUUUUCCUAUAUAUAAUAAUGUUUCAUCCAGAGAAAGCAAAGGACUCACAGGAUUGUCAAAUUAGGACUAUAUUUGGAAGAAGAUCUAACCCCUUAUUUACGCAUUUAUCGUGUUGACACAUCCAGAUUGCAUUAGAUCACUAUGGGGUUGGAAUUCACUGCAUUAUGCUGUUCCAAUUAGGACUGAUAGAUGUAGUUUCUUAUAUGCUGGAGUGGAAAAAAUCCUUAGUGUACCUUCCGGCAGGAACUAAAAAUGACUGGACGACAUCAAUUCACAUUGCAGCCAGUGAAGGUGACGUAAACAUGAUAAAUAAGCUAUUAAAUCACUGCCUUGAUUGUUGGGAUAUGCUUAACAGAAACAAUCAAAAUGCUCUUCAUGUUGUCGUAUUGAACAAUCAAGACAAGGUAGUCCGCGUCUUAUUAGGCUCUGAUAAGUGCGACAGCCUUGUUGAUGAGCCAGACAACGACGGCAACACUCCUCUCCAUUUGCUUGCUGCCUCUGGUGACCAUGUGCCUGAAUUAAUAAACCAUCCUAGAGAAAAGAAGAUGUCAUUUAACAAACAAAACUAGACUCCACUUGAUAUUCAAAGCAACGACAAAAUAGGAGAAAUUGGUGGAGGAUUUGUGUAGCAUUGGCCGAUUUGGAAAACGUGACUUUGAGGUAAAGCGGAAGUACGAGUACAUGCCCAAUCCAAAUGAUGAAACGGGAACAGGAGUCAAAAUACAACUGAGGGAAGAUAAUCAAGAUAAAGCUAAAAAGGCAGAUCAAACAGUAAUCGAAAGUAUUAUGAAGUCAGCUCAAAUCCAUGUUGUUGUGGCCACUUUGAUAAUGACUGUCACUUUCACCGCUGGUAUCACAUUGCCAGGAGGUUUUGAGAGCGACCCUUAUAGCUCUAAUCAAGGGAUGGCGAUUCUAAUAAGGAAAACAGCAUUUCGUGCAUUUGUUGUUUUUGAUGCCAUUGCCUUCACAUGCUCAGGUGUUGCCAUAUUCAUCUACUUCCUCAUGGCAGAUUUCAUCAAAAUAAGAAAGCUGUAGAGAAGUUUUAUGAUCUCGCAGGUAUUUUUCAGUGCUUGUCAAUGUUAGCAGUUGUAAUUGCAUUCGCAACGGGUAUGUUUGCUACCUUAUCACAUUCCUUUGGUCUUGUCGUUACUGUCUGUUUCAUAGGUUGCCUCUCUAUUUUAUUGUACUUCUUGGUUUUUAUCUAUAUUUGUAGAUUUUUGUGAUGAGAGUUUCUACUUAUUGCUUCCAAAUGUAUAAUUCAACUACAUAUAUUUCAGUUUUUACCCAAUA